UCGGUGAAAGAUGGAUCCGCGUCUGAUUAGCCAGUUGGCGGGGUAACGGCCCACCAAAGCGACGAUCAGUAGCCGGCCUGAGAGGGCGGACGGCCACAUUGGGACUGAGACACGGCCCAGACUCCUACGGGAGGCAGCAGUGGGGGAUAUUGCACAAUGGGCGCAAGCAGGAUGCAGCGACGCCGCGUGAGUGAAGAAGUAUUUCGUAAAGGGAAGCUCUAUCAGCAGGGAAGAAAGGCCCGCAAGGGAGAUGAC
rnacentral:rRNA from 1 species